rnacentral:rRNA from 1 species
GACGAACGCUGGCGGCGUGCCUAAUACAUGCAAGUCGAACGCAGUGGGGACGGGUGAGUAACACGUGGGUAACCUCCCAUCAGAGGGGAUAACACUUGGAAACAGGUGCUAAACCGAUACUGAUGGAUGGACCCGCGGUGCAUUGGCUAGUUGGUGCGGUAAUGGCUCCCCAAGGCAACGAUGCAUAGCCGACCUGAGAGGGGGAUCGGCCACACUGGGACUGAGACACGGCCCAGAAUCCGACGAGGGGCAGCAGUAGGGAAUCUUCGGCAAUGGACGAAAGUCUGACCGGUCGACGCCGCGUGAGUGAAGAAGGUUUUCAGAGCGUAACACUCUGUUGUUAGGGAAGCGGUAUCUAACCAGAAAGCCACGGCUAGCUACGUGCCAGCAGCCGGGGUAAUUC